AAACACAUUGGAUUAGCGGGGUGGGAGGAGCGCUGGAGAUAGCGGGAGAAGUGGUUGGAGAAGGUUUACUGCCUUCCACAACUGGGCCGGUCCAAGGGGCUGGAGCUGCAGAAGUGGGAAGAUCCUGGGGCACUGAGACGGCAGCCCUGAAGCAGGAGGUUCCUGGCAGAGGACACUUGUCGAUCCACCCUAGGCUGAAUUUGUUGAUCUGAUGCUCCUCUGUGGACUUGGGCUUUAACUUGAGUGAGAUACAAGAUGACACUUUCCAUGCUCCAGCUCCUCUCCUGUCCUCACUUGCUCACCAGCCCGCAUCAGGCAGUGUACGUGUCUAGCGGGCCUAACAGCAGCAGAGGAGUGGCUUGGCGUAACUACCCAUCCUGGGUUCCAGCAGGCCCCAUAGCAGCUGAAGUGUCGCCUAGCUGUCUGCAGAGGGUCUUCCAGCAACAGGCCUGACCAGUGAUGAGCUCCCAAAAUCCUAAUAACUGGUUCCCUUCUGGGUCCUCAGCAGCACUUCGCGUGUGUGUGUGUGUGUGUGUGUGUGUGUGUGUGUGUGUGUCUUCACUCGCUCUGGGUUUUUCGGUGGCAUUUUGGUGGUGAGUCCUUCACCUGGAGCAAGUGAAGACACCCCACCCACUCCCCGCCGCUGAAGACCCAGUAGGGAACCGCACGGUGAGUACAAGUCCCACGUGCCUGUCUCCCCCACAUCCGACCCCAACCCACGUACUGCCUCCGACUGCCCCCCUCAGAACCCGCAACCCAUCAACCCCCCCGC